rnacentral:rRNA from 1 species
GAUGAACGCUAGCGGCAGGCUUAACACAUGCAAGUCGAGGGGCAACACGGGUAGCAAUACCUGGUGGCGACCGGCGCAAGGGUGCGUAACGCGUGAGCAACAUGCCCUAUACAGGGGGAUAAUCCAGGGAAACUUGGUCUAAUAUCCCAUAGUAUUUAGAGGUGGCAUCACCACUAAAUUAAAGCUUCGGUGGUAUAGGAUUGGCUCGCGUGACAUUAGCUGGAUGGUGGGGUAACGGCUCACCAUGGCGAUGAUGUCUAGGGGUUCUGAGAGGAAGACCCCCCACACUGGGACUGAGACACGGCCCAGACUCCUACGGGAGGCAGCAGUGAGGAAUAUUGGACAAUGGAUGGAAAUCUGAUCCAGCCAUGCCGCGUGCAGGAAGCGGCCCUAUGGGUUGUAAACUGCUUUUAAUGGGACAAUAAGGUCUACGCGUAGACCGAUGAGAGUACCAUAUGAAUAAGCAUCGGCUAACUCCGUCG